UCAAGCUUCAAUCUAGGACCUUCUCACACUUAAUGCCGCCUUCAAAUUGUGAAUAUAAACCAAAUUUCACAGAGAGAGAGCUAGAAAGAGUUGAUUUUGUGGAUUGUGAUUACAUUUUUGGGAAAAAAAGUUUGUGAAAUCGGGCGUAUGUUGCACUCUAUAGGAGUUCUAAGAUGAGCUACGGGGAACGAAAGCAUCAGUGGAGUGUGUACGACGGUGUCAAGGCUAUGUCCGUUGCUCCCGAGGCUCUCAUGGCUGAGAUAAACUCCGCCAUUGCUGCUCUCGAGUAUGCUCGUGCAGCAGUCUUCUCACCGUCUCCUGACCCUGCUCCAAAGGCGAGAAACGCCAACAGAAAGCCUGCUCCGACCUUUGAUGCUCAAAUAGCCGAUGAGGCUUACAAAGCCGGAUUGGCAUCCAUGUCAGCUGGGAGGGUCGACGAGGCUAUCAUCUCUUUAAACCUCGCCCUCUCCAAAUGCCCGCCCGAGAAGACCUCAGCGCUCACCAAGAUCCAGUCUCUGAUCUCCGUGGCGUCCCAGCAGCGACACGUGUCUUCUAAUUGAUUCGAAUUUAAAGAAACUUCACCCCUUUGAUGUGUUUGUUUGUCAGUAAUGCAUACUUUUAUGUAUUUUACCUUCCACAUUUUCUUCGCGAUUCUUAUUCUCUUACAACGUUUGCCCGGCUAACCUAAUAACGAUGGAAAAGAUCGUGGAUGAGACGAACUCCCUGUAUCUAUAUGUCUACAUUUUGUUCCUUUGCCUCACAGAUAUCGAGUGCUGCAUCUUGUCGCGGUGGAGAUCAAUGAGAACAAUGGAUGCUUGAUGUGGAUGCUUGGGUCGUGUAGAAACGGUGCAAAUCCCUCUCGUCCGCUUUGCGAGAGAGGUUUUCCAAGUGCCCUCUUUUCGCGGGGAAGCUCUCGGGUCUGAGCUCCGAAGCAGAGGAUGCAGCCCGCGAUUUUGAUGAAGAAGAUGAAGUUUUCGUUUCAGCGGUCAUGAGCAGGUACAUGGAGUCCAAAUGCAAGCGCAAGUCUGUGUUCGGGUCGGAUACCUCGAGAUGGGCUCUCUCUCCGGAGCAUUUCUUGCUCGCUAGAAAAGGGAGUCAGGAAUCGCGGAGCUCCGGUGGAAGUGGUGAGGAGGAUGAGGAGUUUUCCAGUGCGGUUACUCGGCUAUCUAGGUGUUCGAGCGCUACAAGCUACGACACAUUUUUCUCGGUCAAGACACGUUUCACGCGGUCAUCGAGCUUGAAAAAGAUCGAUUCUUGUAAAGAUUUUAGCAGGCGAUGCAUAAUUAUUCAAGAGCUUAUGCAGUAUGAAGGGUGGCCGUUUGGGCUCUGCAAGAAGGCAUUUUUGCUGCCUCCGCUGCCGAAGUCGCCGUCCGAUUCGUGGUCGUGGAGGAAGAACACCGGAAUCGCCACGAGUGUCGGGUCGGGUUGGUGAAUACCCGAACCCGUUUAAGCAGCCCCACAAUAAUACAUGGAUGAUAUAUUGAUAUUUACUUUGCUCGAGUAUGAUUUGGAUUUUGUGCUUUUUUUGGUUUUAGUAUGUUUUACUAAAUAUAUCAAUUGGGAGUUGAGUUGGAUAAUUGAAUUUAUUGGCAAGGGAUAUCAUUUCUUUC